rnacentral:tRNA from 1 species
GGAGAGAUGGCUCAGAGGUUAAGAGCACUGACUGCUCUUCCAGAGGUCCUGAGUUCAAUUCCCAGCAACUACA